AUACGUAGGGGGCGAGCGUUGUCCGGAAUGAUUGGGCGUAAAGGGCGCGUAGGCGGCUUUGCAAGUCAGUAGUGGAAGUCCAUUUUUCAAGGAUGGAAGUGCUACAGAAACUGCGGAGCUUGAGUGCAGGAGAGGUUAUCGGAAUUCCCGGUGUAGCGGUGAAAUGCGUAGAGAUCGGGAGGAACACCAGUGGCGAAGGCGGGUAACUGGACUGCAACUGACGCUGAGGCGCGAAAGUGUGGGGAGCAAACAGGAUUAGAUACCCUGGUAGUCCACACUGUAAACGAUGAAUGCUAGGUGUAGGAGGUAUCGACCCCUUCUGUGCCGCAGUAAACACAGUAAGCAUUCCGCCUGGGGAGUACGGUCGCAAGAUUAAAACUCAAAGGAAUUGACGG
rnacentral:rRNA from 1 species